rnacentral:rRNA from 1 species
AUUGAACGCUGGCGGCAGGCCUAACACAUGCAAGUCGAGCGGAUGAAGGGAGCUUGCUCCUGGAUUCAGCGGCGGACGGGUGAGUAAUGCCUAGGAAUCUGCCUGGUAGUGGGGGAUAACGUCCGGAAACGGGCGCUAAUACCGCAUACGUCCUGAGGGAGAAAGUGGGGGAUCUUCGGACCUUACGCUAUCAGAUGAGCCUAGGUCGGAUUAGCUAGUUGGUGGGGUAAAGGCCUACCAAGGCGACGAUCCGUAACUGGUCUGAGAGGAUGAUCAGUCACACUGGAACUGAGACACGGUCCAGACUCCUACGGGAGGCAGCAGUGGGGAAUAUUGGACAAUGGGCGAAAGCCUGAUCCAGCCAUGCCGCGUGUGUGAAGAAGGUCUUCGGAUUGUAAAGCCCUUUUAGUUGGGAAGAAGGGCAGUAAGUUAAUACCUUGCUGUUUUGACGUUACCAAAAGAAUAAGCACCGGCUAACUUCGUG